rnacentral:rRNA from 1 species
UAGAUACCCUAUUAUUUUAAGUGUAAAAAUAAAAUAUUUGAGUAGUAAUUGUUUUGAUCAUGAAACUCAAAGAAUUUGGCGGUGUUUUAGUCUAUUCAGAGGAAUCUGUCCCGUUAUUGAUGAUUCACGUUUAACUUUACUUAAUUUUGUAAAAUCAGUUUGUAUACCGCCGUCAUCAGAUUGUCUUAGGAGAGUAUAAAUUUUCUUAAUUUUAAAUUAGAAAUUAUGUCAGGUCAAGGUGCAGUUUAUAAUUAAGGGGAGAUGGAUUACAAUAGAAUAAUUUAAAUGGAUGUUAAGUUGAAAUAUUUAAUUGAAGGUGGAUUUGAAUGUAAUUAUUGAAAUUAUAAUAUAUUGAUUUUAGCUCUAAAAUAUGUACACAUCGCCCGUCGCUCUU